GGAUCCAGACUUUGAUCCUGGCUCAGGAUGAACGCUGGCGGCGUGCCUAACACAUGCAAGUCGAACGGACUUACAUUGAAGCCUAGCGAUAUGUAAGUUAGUGGCGGACGGGUGAGUAACGCGUGGGUAACCUGCCUUGUACUGGGGGACAACAGUUGGAAACGACUGCUAAUACCGCAUAAGCGCACAGCUUCGCAUGAAGCAGUGUGAAAAACUCCGGUGGUACAAGAUGGACCCGCGUCUGAUUAGCUGGUUGGUGAGGUAACGGCCCACCAAGGCGACGAUCAGUAGCCGGCCUGAGAGGGUGAACGGCCACAUUGGGACUGAGACACGGCCCAAACUCCUACGGGAGGCAGCAGUGGGGAAUAUUGCACAAUGGGGGAAACCCUGAUGCAGCAACGCCGCGUGAGUGAAGAAGUAUUUCGGUAUGUAAAGCUCUAUCAGCAGGAAAGAAAAUGACGGUACCUGACUAAGAAGCCCCGGCUAACUACGUGCCAGCAGCCGCGGUAAUACGUAGGGGGCAAGCGUUAUCCGGAUUUACUGGGUGUAAAGGGAGCGUAGACGGUUUUGCAAGUCUGAAGUGAAAGCCCGGGGCUUAACCCCGGGACUGCUUUGGAAACUGUAGAACUAGAGUGCAGGAGAGGUAAGUGGAAUUCCUAGUGUAGCGGUGAAAUGCGUAGAUAUUAGGAGGAACACCAGUGGCGAAGGCGGCUUACUGGACUGUAACUGACGUUGAGGCUCGAAAGCGUGGGGAGCAAACAGGAUUAGAUACCCUGGUAGUCCACGCCGUAAACGAUGAUUACUAGGUGUUGGUGGGUAUGACCCAUCGGUGCCGCAGCAAACGCAAUAAGUAAUCCACCUGGGGAGUACGUUCGCAAGAAUGCAACUCAAAGGAAUUGACGG
rnacentral:rRNA from 1 species